GAAAAGAACCUGAAACCCUGUGUUUACAAGCUGUGGAAGCACUUUAUAUGUGCGACCGCGUACUUUUUGUAGAACGGUCCGGCGAGUUACGCUGGCAGGCAAGGUUAAGCACUCAAGGUGUGGAGCCGGAGAGAAAUCAAGUCUUAAUAGGGCGCAGGAGUCAAGUCUUACGACUUACUCCACAAGUCUGUCAGAGUAGACCCGAAACCGGGUGAUCUAUCCAUGUCCAGGUUGAAGUUGCCGUAAAAGGCAAUGGAGGACCGAACCCACAUCCGUUGAAAAGGGUGGGGAUGAGAUGUGGAUAGCGGAGAAAUUCCAAUCGAACCCGGAGAUAGCUGGUUCUCCUCGAAAUAGCUUUAGGGCUAGCCUCAAUUGAAAGAUUUGCGGAGGUAGAGCACUGAAUAUCCUAGGGGGCGUCAAAGCUUACCGAAGAUUAUCAAACUCCGAAUGCCGUGUAAUUGUUGAUUGGGAGUCAGACUGUACGAGAUAAGUUGGACAGUCAAAAGGGAAAGAGCCCAGACCUCCAGCUAAGGUCCCAAAGUAUGUGUUAAGUGGAAAAGGAUGUGAGAUUUCGAAGACAACUAGGAUGUUGGCUCAGAAGCAGCCAUACAUUAAAAGAGUGCGUAAUAGCUCACUAGUCGAGAGGUCUUGCGCCGAAAAUGUCCGGGGCUAAAACACAACACCGAAGCUGUGGAAUGUAUUUAUACAUUGGUAGAGGAGCAUUCUUAACUUAGCGAAGCGAUACUGUAAGGAGUCGUGGAGAGUUAAGAAGAGAGAAUGCCGGAAUGAGUAGCGAGAUAGAAGUGAGAAUCUUCUAGGCCGAAUAUCUAAGGUUUCCAGAGUAAAGCUGAUCUGCUCUGGGUAAGUCGGGGCCUAAGGCGAGGUCGAAAGACGUAGUCGAUGGACAACAGGUUGAAAUUCCUGUACUGCAAUAAAACAGAACUGUGGGGACACAGGUCGAACGUCAGAGCCAGGAUUGGAAAAACUGGUGCAAGCGAGGUAUCUGGUUGGUAGGAAAAUCCGCCAGCUAAGGAGAAGACGUGAUGCGUACCGAACUAAAAGUAGGGAAGCUGAUAGACGAACUGUCAAGAAAAGCCGCUAUUGUUUUUAUUGUACCCGUACCGUAAACCGACACAGGUGGAUGAGGAGAGAAUCCUAAGGCCGACGGGAGAAGCAUUGUUAAGGAACUCGGCAAAAUGACCCCGUAACUUCGGGAGAAGGGGUGCCUACGAAAGUAGGCCGCAGAGAAUUGGCCCAAGCAACUGUUUAGCAAAAACACAGGUCUAUGCAAAACCGAAAGGUGAAGUAUAUGGGCUGACGCCUGCCCGGUGCUGGAAGGUUAAGGGGAGAGGUUAGCGCAAGCGAAGCUUUGAACUUAAGCCCCAGUAAACGGCGGCCGUAACAAUAACGGGUCCUAAGGUAGCGAAAUUCCUUGUCAGGUAAGUUCUGACCCGCACGAAAGGCGUAACGAUUUGGGCACUGUCUCAACAAUGCACCCGGUGAAAUUGAAGAACCAGUGAAGAUACUGGUUACCCGCGACAGGACGGAAAGACCCCAUGGAGCUUUACUGCAGGUUGACACUGGGGCCAGGUUAAUGAUGUACAGGAUAGGAGGGAGACAGCGAAGCUAGUACGCCAGUACUAGUGGAGUCAAUGGUGGGAUACCUCUCUUCAUUAAUCUGACCUCUAACCUACUACCGUAAACCGGUAGAGGGACAAUAUCAGUCGGGCAGUUUGACUGGGGCGGUCGCCUCCUAAAGAGUAGCGGAGGCGCUCAAAGGUCACCUCAGAAUGAUUGGAAACCAUUCAAAGAGUGUAAAGGCAGA
rnacentral:rRNA from 1 species